rnacentral:lncRNA from 10 species
UGGCCUUGCAGCCUGUUUCUUCAUCUGAAAAAAAGAAGGAAAAAUAAUACCAAACUCAGAAAGACUUCAUGAGGAUCGAGUCUGUUUGAAUUGCUUUUCAUUGCACCUUCUAAAUAUGGGGAACUGCGACAUGAAGAAGUUAACUUACCUAAGAUCAGAGAAUGAGUCAAGGACAGAACAGGACCAUGUCAUCAAAUUUAGAGAAACUUGAACUAUUCUUGCUUUGACAUGAUAAUGAGAAAACAAUCAGUCCAAAAUGAGUCUUAGAGAGGAAUCAGCACCUUUGAAAACAAAUGUCUCCAACAGGAAAAAGCAUGUUUAUACCUGCUUCUUGAAAGGAGAUAUUCUACAGCCUCAUUAAGAGAAAAGCAC